UUUGUAAGUGCUUUGGGUAUCUUAGCAAUAAUAUGGUGCUCUAUAAAUCCAAGUCAUUGUUAUUAUUAUUAUUAUAUUUUAAUAGCCAGGUGGCCUCUGUGU